rnacentral:tRNA from 1 species
AGUUUAGUGGUCGAGUGCAGGCAUUAGAUUGUAAAUCUAAAUACGAGAAUUUUUCUCCUAAACUA